CGGAAGCUUGAUCGGAUUAUUUCGUCUUGCUUUCGUCUCUCUUUUGUCUCCCCUAUGUCUUUUAUUUAAUCCCCAUUUCCCCUCCAGGAGCUCUGAACUUGUUGAUCUGCAGGCUGGAUCAAGUGGCGCUCAGCGUGGGAGCUCCUGGCACGGAGAAGUUAACGAGGGAGGGAGCCGUUCGAGAGACAGCUGGCUUAAACUGAAAGUGAAAGCGAAUUGAACCAGAGACCUCGGCCGAGGAAUGAGUAAACUAAAUCAAGGAUUAAAGCUUAAAGCAACAAGACAUUAAAUUAAGUACUGAGACCUGCACAGACGACUACCCGACGUCCUGCCCGAGUCACGGCAAAAUAUAAGGAUAAGAAGAUGAUAUGAAAGUAGAAGGAAAAUUAUUAUCAAAGAAGGGAUCUGGAAGAACAAAUGGGAAAGAGGACAAGAGGAGAGAGAGGAGGUGGUGACUGCUGAUCCAGUUCCUUGCUUUUCCUACAUGAAGUGGCCUGAUGUGUCUCCACUGAAUCCAACUCUCCUUUUCAUUCUAUUUAUUCAUUUAUUUUUAUUCUUUCAUUUUAUUUUAAAGAGAAAGAAGAAAAUCAGAUAAAUCAACAAGCGAACAAAGUUAAAAAUCAACAACAAAAGCAAAACAACAACAAAACACCAGCUAUAUACAGAUUUCCAAACAAGAUGAGUGGGGCCAGGGAUUUAGCUCAGCAGCACAAGUGCCUGUUUGACAAGCAUGAGGUCAUGAGUUUGAUCCCAAGUAACAGUGCACUUGACAUCCUCUGAGUAGACACUGAGAUCCUAAACCCCAGGUCUGCAAGGCCAAUCAAAUAAAAGCUAUUCCUUUUA